rnacentral:tRNA from 1 species
GGAUUAGUAGUCAAGUGGUUACGACAUAACUCUUUCAAUGCUACCAUCGCAGGUUCGAUCCCUGUCUAGUCUA